UAACUGUGGUAGUACGAUAGGUUCCGCGUCUGAUUAGCUAAUUGGUGGGGUAAUGGCCUACCAAGGCAACGAUCAGUAGCCGGCCUGAGAGGGUGAACGGCCACAUUGGGACUGAGACACGGCCCAAACUCCUACGGAAGGCAGCAG
rnacentral:rRNA from 1 species